GUUCCAAACAGCUUCACUAUUAUCUGUCUUCUGUAUCCCUCAAGCUUUCCCCAGUGAACACAGCACCCUGGGAAAUGCAAAGAGGGAAGACAGAGAGGAGCAUGGGGUGGGA
ensembl:miRNA Mir3564 microRNA 3564